CCCCCAAGGAAGAGUCAGUUCAGAAGCACA
rnacentral:piRNA from 1 species